rnacentral:rRNA from 1 species
GACGAACGCUGGCGGCGGGCUUAACACAUGCAAGUCGAACGAGAAGCUCAGAGCUUGCUCUGAGUGGAAAGUGGCGCACGGGUGCGUAACGCGUAGGCAACCUGCCUUCAAGAGGGGAAUAACCACCGGAAACGGUAGCUAAUUCCGCAUAUUGUCUGUUUAUCGCAUGAUUUACAGAUGAAAGCCUUCGGGUGCUUGAAGAUGGGCCUGCGUCGGAUUAGGUAGUUGGUAGGGUAAUGGCUUACCAAGCCUACGAUCCGUAGCUGGUCUGAGAGGAUGAUCAGCCACACUGGCACUGAGACACGGGCCAGACUCCUACGGGAGGCAGCAGUGAGGAAUAUUGCGCAAUGGGGGAAACCCUGACGCAGCCACGCCGCGUGGAGGAUGACACCCCUAUGGGGCGUAAACUCCUUUUAUAUGAGAAGAAAACCUGAUUCUGUCGGGCCUGACGGUAUCAUAUGAAUAAGCACCGGCUAACUCCG